rnacentral:rRNA from 1 species
GCCGCUCUGGUUUGGGUGCCCUAUUUGCUGGUCCGGAUUCGGCCAGUUGGUGGGUGUCUCCUGGGCUUUGGUGGUGCAUUUGCAAGUGGAGUGCGCUGAGGCCUGUGGGGCAGCGGUUGGAAGUGCGCUUUGAGGAUACCCUUUGGGGUAAAACCCGGACGUACCUAAGACUGUUUGCCCUGCUUGUACAUGAGCGAGGCCUACGGGUUUGGUUGGRGCUGAGCUGGUCGUCGGUUACGGUCGCAUGCGACACGUGCCGGUGGUUGGUUUGGUUUUGGUCUGAUUCCCUCGCUCGCCCUCGGUGUAAAAGCUAGUCAUCUAUCCGACCCGUCUUGAAACACGGACCAAGGAGUUUAGCGUAUACGCGAGUCAUUGAGUGGAAAACUCAAAGGCGCAAUGAAAGUAAAGGUAUCCCUUGCGGAGCUGAUAUGCGACCUCGGGUGCUUCGGUGCCCGGGAGCAGCAUAGCCCCGUCCUAAUUGCUUGCAAUGGGGCGGAGGUAGAGCGUAUUCGCUGAGACCCGAAAGAUGGUGAACUAUUCCUGA